AGCGAAAGCGUUAAGUAUUCCACCUGGGGAGUACGCCGGCAACGGUGAAACCCAAAGGAAUUGACGGGGGCCCGCACAAGCGGAGGAACAUGUGGUUUAAUUCGAUGAUACGCGAGGAACCUUACCCGGGCUUAAAUUGCAGAUGAAUUACGGUGAAAGCCGUAAGCCGCAAGGCAUCUGUGAAGGUGCUGCAUGGUUGUCGUCAGCUCGUGCCGUGAGGUGUCGGCUUAAGUGCCAUAACGAGCGCAACCCUUGUUGUCAGUUACUAACAGGUUCCGCUGAGGACUCUGACAAGACUGCCAUCGUAAGAUGUGAGGAAGGUGGGGAUGACGUCAAAUCAGCACGGCCCUUACGUCCGGGGCUACACACGUGUUACAAUGGGGGGUACAGAGGGCCGCUACCACGCGAGUGGAUGCCAAUCCCCAAAACCUCUCUCAGUUCGGACUGGAGUCUGCAACCCGACUCCACGAAGCUGGAUUCGCUAGUAAUCGCGCAUCAGCCACGGCGCGGUGAAUACGUUCCCGGGCCUUGUACACACCGCCCGUCAAGCCAUGGGAGCCGGGGGUACCUGAAGUGCGUAACC
rnacentral:rRNA from 1 species